rnacentral:lncRNA from 1 species
UCACGACCUGAUCCAUCAUCACAUAAUUAUUCGUAGGAAUUUCAUAUUCUAAUCUUAUCAAUGAAGGACUUGCUGUCUAGUCCCUUACUGUAGAAGUUGUCGUCGUAUUCUUGCUUUGUAAAGUUGCGAUAAAUUGCAGGUUUUUCAGGAGACAGCAACUCUGGUAGAGGUCCAUAAGAGUCGGACUCUUUCCAUUUCGCUAAACUGAAGAACAUCACAAUCGAGAUCCGUGGCUCUUUACAGGGGUUGGCUAUCACUCGAUGUUGUAUACUAUUGUACUCACCGUUCGACACUAUCUGCCAUGGUCCCAUACGAUCACCAGUUAGAAAUUAAAAACACAAACAAAUAUGAAUAAUGAUCAUGAGUUACCUGGAGAAAGUCGCCAGCGUUGAUAAUCAACCCACCAGGAACAGGCUUUACAUCCACCCAUUCAUCCCCAUGCCUCACCUGCAACCCAGGGACAUGGUUCUGCAACAAAACCGUCAGAACCGUCGGAUCCGUGUGAGAUGCAAGCCCCAUCGUCAGAUCAGGCUGUGGACAGUGGGGAUAGCAUACCCCCACAAAAAGCCUAGUAUCAGAAAAUGUCAACUCCUUAAACUUGCCGGGUUCUAACCCUAAUCCUUCGGAUAGCAAUUCCAUCAGAGUCUCAGCAACCUUUUUUGCAUGCGUGUCCCAUGCAAUCACCUCCCUCCUGCAUAUCUCCGGCAUCCGCUCAACCUCCGGCGGCUGUGGUGCCAUCCACACCUGAAGAUAGUCAUGCCAAGUCGCCGCCUCCGAUCGGUACAAAUCGUUGUUGCUGGUGUACACCACCCCGCGUCUCUCCUCACCCACGGAGAUCUUCGCCUUCACUUGAUGUGGCUGGUCGUGGAAAGACUUGACAGCGUUGACCGUCUCCUCCAGUACGGACAGGGCUACGCCGUGGUUGAUCACUUGAAAGAAACCCCAUGUCUUAGAGGCCUCUCGAAUUUGGUCCACGAUCUUGGGACGGUGAUGGGGAGAGUCCAAGUUGGAAAGAUCUAUUACCGGGAUGUGGAUGGAGGAGAAGGAAGAGGAAGAUGUGGGUUUGAGUUGGGAGAGAGUUUGGGGUGGGUGUAUGAAGAUACGAGGGAUGGAAGUGAUGCCAGAGUCAGAGAGACCUUUGACGCCUAUCUUGGACUCAGAGAACUCCUUCACUUCCUUCAUUCGGUCGUAAUCGGCGGAUGCCAUAGUCUUCAGUUUGGAUCUAUCUGCCUGCUGCCUACGGCCCUCACCAGAGUCACCACUCGAUCGCUUCUACACUUUUACCUCACUUAUGCACUACUUAGCCUUCAAUGUAGCCUAUUCUUAAACCUUCACAAUCUAUAUUUAUUAUAUUAAAUAUCGUAUUGUUUGAAUUAAUUUGUAUGGAAAAUUAUUAUUUAAAAUAAAUUGAUAAAGCAGAAAUAAUGUAGUUGACGACGUUGACAGAUGGACAAUUGUUCAACCAAUUGUCUGGAAAAUUAUUAUUUAAAAUAAAAGAAAUAAAUAGAUAAACCAGAAAAAAUGUAGUGGACGAUGUCGACAGAUCAGAUAAUUGUUCAGCCACUUUGAACUGGAGUCCCAGUCAUGCGACAUCUCAGCGGCUCCAAAUUCAAAACACCUACCUUAUCCACACGCGUUGCAGGUUUCUUCUUGUAGACACACCAAUGAUUUGACAAGUCUCCGCCAUUGCCCGUCAGCUAAUCAGUGAUGAAAUAACUUAAAAAGUUUAUCAAAAUGCUUAAAAACUUGGCUAUUAUAAUGGGUUAUGCCUACGCAUUAUCCUCUUAAUUUUUUUAUGCUUAUAUUGAAUGUAUAGGUAAUAAUUUCCUUUCAUAUUUAGCAGUACAUGUUUAUUUAAAUUGAUGACUUGUUCCAAAGUUUAGAAGCAAUAUAAUAAUAGAGUAAGGUUGAUCAUCAUUACAAUUUCACGAAGAAAUAUUCAAACUAUGAAGAUCGUGUGACUAAAAUAAAAUUAAUAUAAAAAUGAUGAAAUCAAUUUUUCAUUUUUAAAAAAAAUAAAUUAAGUUAUGCUAAAAAUAUUGUAAAAUGAAUUUUAUGUAUAUAAUUUUUUUUUAUUAAAGGGGCUACCUAUUCACCCCUCCAAAUAGUUAUAUAACUUGAGAUCACACCAAUCCUUAACAAUAAAUCAUUUUUAAUAAAAUAUGAAGGCCAAUAUUAUAAUAAAAUAAUAAAAUAUAUUUUUAUUAAAAAAAUUAUUUUAAUAUAUAUAUAUAUAAGUGAUAUUAAGGAGUAAAAGUGAAAAAUAUUAUUUAAAUAAUUUUUAUUUUUCUUUCUUUAUCUUUUAUCCUUUAUUGGAUAACGAAAAAUAAAAACAAAAUAAACAUUGUACAAUUAAAUUGAAAAUAUAAAUUCUUACUUUUGUUGAAUUUAUAAAAGUUGGAGAAUGAGAGAGUUUGUUCUUCUCUUAUGAUUUUUAUGAUUCUUUCCUUUUGAUGUCUCUCUUUAUUUCAUACCUCCCUUUUUAUACAAAAACUCUUUAUAAGAUGACAAUAAAAAUAUCAAUGUACGAGGCUUCUCAUAAGAUAUUAAAUGGGGCACGAUUAUUUUUUCAUAAAGGAAGUGAGGCAAUGGGAUUUGUAUGUUUAUGUGCAUAAUUUGACAUGGUGUAUGUAUUUACUUGCAUAGCACAAAUAUAUUUAUGAGUAUACUCUCUGUUUUUUUUUUCUCUCUAUUUUUUCUUUAUAUUUUCUUCUUUUGAUAUGAUUAAUUUUUUACAAAACUACUUUAAUAUGAUAGAUCAUUUAUAUCCACUUUAGAUUUUAUAGUUGAGAUUAUAGUUAUUGCUUUGAAGUCAUUCUAUUACAUUUUGUAAGUUCUGAUACCUUUCUUCGUCAAAGUUGUCUGAAAAGUACUCUACAUCAUCACUAAGAUAAAAAGAUUGAUUCUAGCUUUCUUCGUUUAAGUCAUUUCCCACUUCAGUUCUUAUUAAAGAACUAAUGGCUCUUUAUUAUGUUUUAUAUACAUACAAUGGAAAGUUGGUACCACUAACCCAUUGGUUUGAAAUAAAAGUAAAUGUUUUGAAAAGAAAUAUCAAGUUAUCAACUUGUUUUUCAGUUUUAAGUAGAUAGGUUAAAAUAUUUAUAAAUUUUUGAGGAAAAUUUUUAAGGAUUUGAGAUACUUGAUGAAAAUAUUUUUUAUAGAAUUUCCUAAUCGAUAAGCUAAGGUAAGAGAAAUAUUUUCUCUAAGGAAAUGAAAAAUAAAUUUUUAUUUGUUGCAGCAAGAUAAAAGAGAAAACAUAAAAUAGAAAACACUAAUUUUUUUUGUGCAAAGACCAAAUUUAUUUUAGAAAUUAAUAUAUUAAAGUAAAAAAUUUAAAACAUCACUUCACAUCAAGGUAAAUCCCUCUUUUUGGCUAAACUAAAGUCUCUCUAAACAAGUCAAUUUUUGAAAGAACAAAAAAAAAAAAAAAAAAAACCAAUGGUCAUAGGGUUAAAACUAAAAACUUUAGUUUUAAAAAUAAUUUUAAUAUUAUAAAAUCUACUAGAAUUUGAUAUUUGUUUAUAGCUCUUAAUUUUUUACGUUGAAUAUAUAACUAUUAUAUAUAUAUAACAUACUGUAAACCUCAAAAUUUGUCCCAAUUUGAUCUUUACAUUAAUUUUGAGUUCAAUUUUAAAUAUCGAUUACAUGUGUUAUUUUAGAUCCACCCUUUAAUUUUUAGUUUUCAUUAUUUUAUAAAUUAUUUUUUUAUUUAUUAAUUUUAUUUGUUAUCAUUAUUAUUAUUUUUAUUUUUUUUUCUUAUCUCUCUUCUUUUCUCCUCCAUCUACCCUCACCCACCCACUUCUUCUCUCUCCUCCCAUACUCCUCACCACCAGCCACUUUUCAUUUCUCCCUCAAAUUUUUUUCCCUCCCACUCUUCUCUCUCUUCCCCAAGACUUCCUUUCACCGGCCCCCCCUCCCUCCAUUUUUUCCCCUCAUUUUUUUCUCUCCUCUCUUCUCUCUCCUCCGACCUCUCUCCUCCAAUUGGGAAGACAACCAACCCCCGGAAUUUUUUUUGGGAGAGCUCCCAGGCUUUUCUCCAUUUUUUUCCCUUCCCUCACCGUUCACUGGAUCUCCGCAUUUCCUCCCUCCCAUUUUUUUUUUUCUCUUCUCUCCCCCAUCGGCACACUCGGGUGAUCCCCCGACUUUUUUUUUUCAUUUAUUUAUUUACUAUUAUUAUUAUUUUCUCUUUCCCUCCUUGAACUCUCACACUGCCGGCGGCGUGACGCCAGUGCCUUUUCCGGCACCCCCUUCAUCCCCAUUUUCUCCCAUUUUAUUUAUUUAUUUAUUUAUUUUAUUUUUAUUCUAUAUUUUUUUUAUUUCCAAAAAGCUAUCCACUGCCGCCGGCAAGGUCACCGGCCGGUCACCGCGGGCGAGUCCCCUGGGCCUGCGACCUCCUCCCUUUUUCUCUUUCUCUCACUUCCCCGUAUCACUCAUUUUCCAUUAUUAUUAUUAUUAUUAUUAUUAUUAUUAUUAUUGUUAUUUUAUCUUAUUUUAAUAAUAAUAGUUGUUUGUGAAAUUUGGAUUGUUGAAUUAAUUUGAAAUUUGUAAAUUUGGGUUUAUGGGCAUAUUGCAUGAUUAAUUUGGGAUAUUUGGAUUAUAUCACUUGCAUAUUGUUUACUUGGAUUUGGGCCUAUUGUUAAGUUGUUAAUUGUUUGAACUUAUUGGAUUGAGCUUGAAAUAUUAUUUCACAUAACCAUGUAUAUUUUAUGUGGACUUGUUAAUUGAUGUGAAUUUUGGGAUCCAUAAUGUGGGUGAGAUUUGUUAGAUUAUUUGAAUAUUUGUUAUGGGUUUGAUCAUCGUGAAUUAUUUAAUUUGGACAUGAAACAAUUGUGGUGUAUAUUAAAUUAAGCUUGCAUUAUGGAAUAUUAAAUUUAAGACUAGUAGAAUUUAUUUUAAUUUAUCCAAUUUUAGAUUUGGUUGAUUGUGUUUGUAUUUUUAGUUAUUAAUUUGGAUGUUCUGGGUUAAAACCUAUAGUAAUUUGGGCUUAUUUUAAUUGGCAAAAUUUAUGGGACUAAUUUGAAAUUGGAAUUUGGGUUUGAAUAUUUGUUUGAGGUUUUGUACAUCUUUGGAUAUUUACAUUUAUGUUAUUCUUGUUUUUGCAUGGACCUACUCUACAACCUUGUUGGCCGAGUACAAAUUGAUCACACGUGGAGUUUAUUGUAAGUUUAUUUGAGUACAUAUUUUAUUUCCUACUUUUAUUUGAUUUUAUUUUUAUUAGUUCUUGUAAAUAUUUGUUCGUAUAUAUUUAUUGAGUAUGCGAGAAUUGAACAUUGAACAAACUAGAAUUUUUUUUAAAUGAGAGGACAAAGUUGUUUUAAUAAAACAAUAAUUUUAAAAUAUUAUUUUAAUAAAAAAAAGUUUAUAUAUAAAAAUUCAAAAAAAUGCAUUUAGAAAAAUCCAAAAGAAAUGUUUUUAAUGGAAUUUGAAAAUUUGUUUUUAAAUAAUAUUCGUCUAAAAAUUUCUUUGUUUAAUAAAAAUUGUCAAAAUAUUGUUUUGUAAAUAAAGUUGUCCCAAAAUUUAAUUUUUAAUAAAAUUGUCUAAAAAUAUUUUUUUCAAAUGAAUUCUUUUUCUUUAAUUAAAAUGGGAUCAAAAGUGAUAGAUGAUUUAAAUCUUUGUUUUUUUUUCUUUUUUUAAUUAAAAUUUCUUUUGCAAUAAAGUUAUGUCAUUUUAAAUAAUUUGUAAAAAUCACUUUUUUUAAAUGAAAAUGAAUUUAAAUACUUUUGUAAAUAAAAUUGUAAAAAUUCAUUAUUUUUUAGUAAAAAUAAUUUUUGUGUCCAAAUUGAAAUUUUGUAAUAAAUUAUUUUGAUACAAUAAGUGUAAAUAGUUUUUUUUUAAAAAUUAAAUACAAAUGAAAUUGAGAAAAUAAACUGAUUUUUUUUUGUAAGUAAAUAAAUUGCAAUCAUUAAUUCAAAAUCAUUUUUAAUAAAAUCCUUUGAAAUUUCUUUAAAACUUUUUAUUUAAUUUAAUAAAUCAUUUUGCAUAAUUCUCUUAUCAUUUAUUUUGUAUAUUCUUGUAAUUAGAUUUCAUCAUCAUUUUUGUGUAUAUUAAUUUUCACCCUGACUUGUACAUUGAUUAUUUUUCUUGGUAUCCAUAAUUAAUUAAUUAAUUGUCAUAAUUUCUUCAAUUCGUUUAGUAGAGACCGUAUGUAUACAGGUUUAGGGGGGUGUUACGGUUCAUCACCGUACCUUUCCAAUAAGUAACUUGACCCUCGAACCCAACUUCGGUUUUUCACGGACCUGUUUUUUUUCCUUUAGGAGUCAAAUUUAGAGUUUUUCUUUUUUAUUUUGUUUUUCCCUUAAAAAAUAAAACAAAAAAAAGUGGGACUCCAAGUCUUUUUUUAAAAAUCAAAUUUUCACCAAAUAAAUAGAAAGCGAUUAUCGCCAUCAAGUGGGAAUGCAUUGAGAAAAAAUACGAGGUCCACACAUACUUUUUUAUUUAAAUUGAUGUCAUGUUCCAAAGUUUAGAAGUAUUAUAUUAAUAGAGUAAAAUUGAGCAUUACAAUUUCACAAAGGAAUAUUGAAACUAUGAAGAUUGUGUGAUUAAAAUAAAAAUAAUAUAAAAUAUUAAUAUAAAAAAUUAUAAAAUCAAUUUUUUAUUUAAAAGGAAAAUAAAUAAAGUUAAUCUAAAAAUAUUAUAAAAUGAAUUAAAUUUUUUGAAAUAAUUUUCAUAUAUAAUCACUUUUUAUUAAAGGGGACUAUCUAGUCACCUCUCUAGAUAGUUCAAUAAAAUAAUUUUCAUAUAUAUAUAUAUAUAUAUAUAUAUGAAAAUAAUUAUGUUUAGUCACGUUAUAUUUAAAAUGAAUAUAAAAGUAAGCAAAAUUUAUUUAUUUUUUAAUUGUAAAUGAUUAAAAAAAAUUAUAUGUAUAUAUUUAAUACUCAAUUAAGAAUAGAAUAUUUUAAACUAAUUUUGAUUUAAUUUUAAUUUUUAAAAUUUCAAAUUAUUCUUAGAAAUUGAUAAAUUUAUUGAAAAAUAUAAAAUCAUGAAGCUUAUUUUGCUCUCAUUUGAUUUAGAAUUUAUUUGUUGGUGAUAACAUUUGAAAAAAAAAAUGGCCAGGUAGAAGAAAUGGUAGAGUCCAUAAUUCAAUUUAGAUUAGUUGUAUUAUUGAUUCUAUUUUUGAGUUACAAAUUAUUUUUAAAAAUUACUAAUCUCAUUAAUAUAUUCAAAUAUAGCUUCAUUUGGAGAUAUUUUUGGAAUAAGAAAAUUCAUAAAAAGUAUAGUUACGUGUAGAUCAUUCUAUAUUAGUUUUAGCAUGUGAGUUUUAAUUAGUGUUGAUUGAACUUUUUGUUUUUAAUACUUUUUAAAUUUUAAAAUUGGAAAAGUGGCGUACAGUGCGCAUAUGGCCAUACAAUAUGCAGUGGAAAUUAAUGGCCAUGACGUAGGACGGCAGGAGGAGGAGGCACCAUUGGCACAAGGAAAGGGCCAGAGGCUUUUGGAAUCUCGGCACUGGGCUUUAUGAAUAACGUACUCUCAUUUUACAACUUUUUUUUGUUUUGUUUUUUUUUGUUUUUUUUAAAAAAAGAUUAUAUUUAAAAGUAAAGUCAUAAUUUUAAUAUUGUAAAAUUUAUUAAACUUAAAGUAAGUUAAGAAAAAAAAAUUCAAAAGAUAAGUACUUUUAUGUUCUUUUAAGUCCUAAAUUCUUUUAAGAAAAUUAUCUAAAUAUCUUUGCCAACAACGGGUCAUCUGGAAACCAACAACAUUUUCACAUAAUGGACUCUGCACUUCAAAGUCAGACAAUAGUUUCAGAUUUAAUUAGAAUAAAGGGAGAAUUGUGUUUUAGGCUCAGUUGGAUUCAAAAAUUAACAUUUGGUCUAUAUAACUUCCAUAAUUGAUGAAAAUGAUAUAAGAUGUUAAAAGACCAAUAUAUUCUUCAAAUUUCUAUACAUUACUUUUUAAGGAUAUAAAAUACUGAUGAACUAAAAUACCUAAUGAUCUUUUACAUAAGCUUUUUUUGUCUUUAUUGUACCACUAUUCAUGCAACCAUAAUAAUUCUAUUUUAACAAUUUGGAUUUUUCAUUAUUUUUAAUUUUUUUUAAUAAAUAAUUGAAAAUCAACAUUAUUUUCUAUUUUAAAUUAUAAAUAAAGAAAAAUUAUGUUCAAAAACUAUUUAAAAAAAUACUUUCUAAAAAAUAGUAAUAUGAUUUAUAUUUUUUAUAUUUUCUUUUUUUUAAAACAUUUAAUUAAAAAAUGAAAACUAUUUUUAAAAAUAAAAAUUGAAAACCUUGUUUAGUAUUAUUUUUUAUAUGAAAAUAAUAAAAAGAAUUAAAUUUAAUUAAUUGAUUAUCCAUUUUUAUUUUUUUCCAUUAGUUAUUUUAAUAAUAAAAAAAAUAUAGUAUGUUUACAAUUAAACAAAGAAAUUGAUCAAUUAUGUGUUUUUUGUGGGACUACUUUUACAUAAAAAAUAAUUAAAUAACUAAAUUAUAUAUAUUUAUUACUCUUUUUAAUUUUAUUUUCUUUAUUUAUUUUUUGUCUAAUAAAUUUUUUUCAUAUAUCCAUAAUUAACAAAAUAAUAAAUCAAUUGUGCACAUUUUAAUCUAUUAAAAUAAAUUAUUUCUAAUUUAAAUAAAUAAAAUGAAAUAAGUAAAUAAAUUUUGAGUUAUUUCUAUUUUUUAACAUAUCUUAUAUCAACAUUUUUAAUGAUUAAAUAAAUUUUUUAUUUUUUAUUUCUUUAAUUCCAAAAAUAAAAUGAAAUAAAUAAAUAAAUUUGGAAUUUUCUAACUGAUCUUAUAUUCAUAUUUCUCAUGGUUAAAUAAAUUUUUUAAUCUUUUUUCUUUAUUUUCAAAAAUAAAAGGAAAUAAAUAAAUAAACUUGGCUUAAAUAAUAGUUUUUAAGUAAUUUCUUUGUCUUAUUUUUAAUUACAUUUUGCAUUGAAAAUAAAAUAAAAUAACGUUUUAUUUGAGUCACUGUACAAGGUAUUUAAACUAAGUGUACAUUACAAAUAUACUAACUGUACAAGGGUAUACAAGACUAUUAUUUGUAAAAGAUUUUAAGUGAUUCUGAAAAACUUGUUUGUUUAUUUCUCCUAACCGAAGAUAAAUGACAUUUCUUACACACAUUGGUUAAGCAUACAUUCAUCUCAUACACUUUAUCUAACUUGUAUAUGGUCAUUUGAAUAAGCACCUCACUUAUGAUGAUUGUAAAACAAAAUUAUACAACAAUUUUUCUUCUUUUUUAAAACCAAACCAAUGCAAACAUGGUUAACCGAUCUAUUGUCAAAUAUUCAUGAGAUGAUGUAUGAAAUUUGAGUUAUUGUACAAGGGUAUUACACUAACUGUACAAAGACAAAUUUACUAAUUAUACAAGGGUGUACAAUACUACUUUUUGUUAAGGAUUUCAAGUGAUUUUGAAAAACUUUCCCAUUUUUUUCCACUCAAAUAUUUUUUCCCCACUCAAGAAUUGUUUCGAAUUUUAUUUUUAAAUUUCAUCAUCAAAUUUUUGCAAUUGCAUAUUUUGUUUUUGUAGUUUUAGCAAUGUUAUUUCUUUCUACUAUUUUUUUUUUUUUUUUUGUGAAAUUUUAUCCAAAUGAAUCUAUAUUUAAAAUUAUAAUCAUAUUUAUCAAAUUUUUUACUAAGAUUAUCUUUAAUUCUUUUAAUAUAUUUAUACUCAUUUAUUUAAAAAAUGAAAAACUAAUUUUUUUUUCUAAAUAUGUUCUAUUACCUUUCAAGUAAAAAAAAUUAGAUAAGUUUGAAAGUCAAUAAAAAAAAUUAAAUACCACUUUCAAUAAUUUUUAGAUAAAAAUUUAUAUUAAAUAUUUUAUUUGAAAUUUAAUUUCUAAAGUUUUACUAAAAAAUUGUACUGACAAUUUUCUUGUUAUGAAUCAAAAUAUUUUGCAUUAGUCUAUCUAGAUAAGAAAAAUUAUUAAUAUAAUGUUAGAGAAAAAUAUAAAUGAAAGGGUAAUAUAAAUUUAAAAUAAAAAUUUAAAAAUUAAACUAAAAGAUAAAUACAAAAAGAUAAAAAAUAUUUGGAUGAAAAAUCUCAAAAUUUUUAUCAUUGCUUAUAAUAAGAGCAAAAAGAUUCAAUAUCUUUAAAAAUGAAAAACAAAAAAACAUUAUUGCUUUUUAUUUGAUAUAAAAUAGAAAUAUAGAUUGGAAGAAAAAAAAAAGUUAGAAAUGAGUAAUACUUAAAAAGGAAUAGAAAAGGGAAAAAAACAUAAAAAAAAAAAUUGAAAUUCACACUCACUUAUACCUAUGUAAGAGUUAAGGGUAUUUUAGGGAUUAAUGAAGGAUAAUAUCCUUCAUCUUAAUUUUUAUACUUUGUUUGGGUCUUGGACUUAAACAUGCAUGAUAUAUGAACCAAAUGUUAAUUUUUGGGUCCAGUUGGGCCCAAAACACAAUUUUUCCUAGAAUAAAAGGGUUUGGAUUGAAGUGUGGGUUCGAGUUCAGUUUUCCUUCUAGCUAAGACGUCACUUCAAUCCGUAGUUUAAAGUAUAAUGUAAUUUUCCUUUUUUUUUUUUGUCUUUUGCUUUAGUGGCUGACAGUGGUGGAGGCAAGGAGUGCCUAGAGAGGGCAUUUGGCAAAUUCCUGCUAAAAAUACAAUAGGUUGUCGGAAUUAAACCCAUAAUCUUAAGUUUUCUAAUAAUUAGUUUCCUUAUCAUUAAAUUAUAUUAGAAGUAUGAUGCUAUUAUUAUGGGACCCUUUAAGCAAGGUCGUCCAUCAUUCAUUCGCACUUGCAACUGUAUAGUGGAAAUACAUUUGCGAUCGUCUGCCUGAAGGGUCCUGAGGCCCUGUGGAUGACCCAUCUAUCCCAGAACUAAAAUGAAGAUAAACGAUCCUUAAACGGAAAUAACACAAAUGGUAUUUGACUAACCUUCAUGCAUUUACUCACCUUCAAACGUAGAUUGUGUACAAAACACUUUCCAUAAUUAUGCAUUAGUAGUCAAUGCUGUAAUAUUGCAUAAUCAAGAAUAAUUAAAUUGUUAUUAAUACGUCUUAAAAGGCGUUAUGAGUAAGGAUAAAUAGUUAUGCAUACGCACAAUCCAAGAAAGGUAUGUUAUUUUUUUCUUUCGAUAAACAGUAUUUACUUGCUCAAGCCAAUUACUGACUUAAAUCUAUUCAGACAUUCUUUUUGUGCAACCAUCUGCAUCUUGAGCAACUUAGAUGGAGAAACAUAGUUGAUCGUUCCAUGUAGCCCUUGAGAGCUAGACGGCCACCUCGAAUUGGACCGUGCACCAACAAUUAUGCCCCUAAAAUAAGUUUCAUAUAAUUCCCCUCCACCACUUUCUUGGCUUGUGGGCAGAGCCAAAGAGUAGCUAGAGGCUUGCGCCCUGAAAUUUUAUUAAAAACCUUUGUGGUUAGUGGGCGGAGCCAAGGUACUCCUCCCGAAAUUUUGUUUUAUUAAAAACCUUUUUGGUUGGUGGACGGAGCAAGGUACUCCUCCCGAAAUUUUAAAAAUAUAGUAGGUAGUGGGAAAACCACUUUUCUGGCUACGCCCCUAGUAACAGACGUGGUUUAAAGCAUAAUUUUACAAGACAAAGAAAAACGCAUCCCAUAGUUGGAGACGAUCUCCAAGCUCAUAAAUUUUUUUUUCCACAAUUACAAUGUGAAAACCCACAUGACAGCAAGACCAAAUCUAUUACCACAUAAUGAUAGUAAUUUUAUAUUGUAAUCUUAUCGAUGAAGGACUUGCUGUCUAGUCCCUUGCAAUAGAAGUUGUCGUUGUAUUCUUUCUGUGUCAAAUUGCUAUAAAUUGCAGGUUUUUCAGGAGAAAGCAACUCUGGUAGAGGUCCAUAAGAGUCAGAGUCUUUCCAUUUCGCUAAGUUGAAGAACAUCACAAUCGAGAUCCGUGGCUCUUUACAGGGGUUGGCUAUCACUCGAUUUUAUUUAUAUCUCAUUAUUAUAUAAAAUAAGGUUUGUUCUCUUUGAAGAGAAAAGUUUAGAAAUGACAAACUAAAACUUCAUUCCACUGCAUCACAAUAAAUCAAAAUAUACUUCUGAUUUAUUUUUCUUGAUGAUUUAAAAUUAUCUUGAUUCUAAGUUAAAAUAUAUGAUUUUGAUUUUAGGUUAUAAUAUACGGCCCUCACCAGAGUCACCACUCGAUCGCUUCUACACUUUUACCUCACUUAUGCACUACUUAGCCUUCAAUGUAGCCUAUUCUUAAACCUUCACAAUCUAUAUUUAUUUUAUUAAAUAUCGUAUUGUUUGAAUUAAUUUGUAUGGAAAUUUAUUAUUUAAAAUAAAAGAAAAAAUUGUGGUUGACGAUGUUGACAGAUCUGAAUAUUGUUCAAUCACUUUGAACUGGAGUCCCCGUCAUGCGACAUCUCACCGGCUCCAAAUUAAAAACACCCUACCUUAUCCGCAUGCGUUGCAGGUUUCUUCCACCUAUAGAUGUUCUUCUAGACACUCCAAUGAUCUGACAAAUCUCCAACAUUGCCCGUGAGCUAAUCAGUGAUGAAGUAACAUAAAAAGUUCAUAAAAAGGCAGGUUUCUUCCACCUAUAGAUGUUCUUCUAGACACUCCAAUUUGAUUUGACAAAUCUCCAACAUUGCCCGUGAGCUAAUCAAUGAUGAAAUAGCUUAAAAAGUUUAUAAAAAUGCUCAAAACACCUUUGUUGGGAAAUUAUUACAUUGUGUCCACAUAGCUUGAUUAAUUGUAAAUGAUUAACUAUAAUUUAAGUGAUUAGAUAAGUUUUCAUUUAUUUAUUUAUUCUGCACAUGCAUCUCAUUAAGUGUGAUGAUUAGAUAAGUUUUUAUUUAUUUAUUUAUUCGGCUUACACAUGCAUCUUAUUAAGUAUGUGUUUUAAUAUAUAAAGAUCACCUUAUUUUAUUUUAUUUUAUUUUUAUGAUAAAUCAAAAAUAAAAUAAAAAAAUAUGAAUAAGUUGAAAUCUUCGGCCUAAACAGAUAAAAGAUUUUAUUUAUAUCUCAUUAUUAUAUAAAAUAAGGUUUUUUCUCUUUGAAGAGAAAAGUUUAGAAAUGACAAACUAAAACUUCGCAUCACAAUAAAUCAAAAUAUUAUAAUAAAAUAAUACUUUUUUUUUCUUCUCUUUUCUUUCUUUCUAUGUUUUCCUUCUCUAUUUUCUUUUUUUUUUUUGACAUUUUCUUUCAAUUUUUUGAAACAAAAAAAAAUGAAAGAAAAAUUUUAAAAUAAUAAAUUAUUAGUAUUUGUUAUUUCAAAUUUAUUUAAUUACUUUAAUUUUUUAUAAAAUAAAAUAAAAUGAAAAAUUAUUAACUAAUUUGAACUAUAUUUGAUUUUUUUUAUGAUAAAAUAAAAGAUUGGAAAAAACAGCUUUCUUAACAUUAUUUUUUAGUACAUUUUGGAAACCAAAAGUAGCCUUAAUUUUCUCUGCUGGCUCAACCAAUUGCUAAUUUCUUUGAGGAAGAGGAUUAGCCCUGAAAGAAUAGCUAGCCAUGAUCCCACCCUUUGAAAUAUGGCCAACGAAAUACCUAUAAAUAGAGAUAAAUGGUAGAGUGAAGCCCAUAAUUAUUUUUCCAAUAAGCAAGUACAGACAGAAUGAGCAAUCCCAUUAAUUCACGGAGCCUAAAUACUUACUCCACUCAUAAAAUAUUACAUAUAAAGAUGGUAAUCACGACCUGAUCCAUCAUCACACAAUUAUUUGUAGGAAUUUCAUAUUGUAAUCUUAUCGAUGAAGGACUUGCUGUCUAGUCCCUUGCUAUAGAAGUUGUCGUUGUAUUCUUUCUGUGUAAAGUUGCUAUAAAUUGCAGGUUUUUCAGGAGACAGCAACUCUGGUAGAGGUCCAUAAGAGUUAGAGUCUUUCCAUUUCGCUAAGUUGAAGAACAUCACAAUCGAGAUCCGUGGCUCUUUACAGGAAUUGGCUAACACUCGAUGCUGAACACUUUUGUACUCACCAUUCGACACUAUCUGCCAUACAAGUAACAAGUCAAAAAA